UUGUAUGGACUCGUCAAAAAAGUAUUAUCUAGUAGGGCUGUCAAAAAGUAUUGAUAUCAUCAUAUAUUGCGAUACUUAUCAAUACAUAUAGUUAUUGAUAUUAUUUGAGAAUAUCGACACAGAUUAAAACCGGUUAUUUUAAGGAGUUUUUGAAAAUAUGGGACGACAUAGACAUUCUUUUGGGACGACAUUAUUUAUGAACCAGAUACUCUGAUGACGCUAAUUACUAAUUUGUAAUAAUAUAACAAUAAAUGAAAAUGGACUCCGAUUGUUUUUAUCAUGGAAAAUCUAAAUCUUAAUUAUUUACAUAAAUAACAUACUAGGUGAGUUUAGUGUUUACAAAUCAUGGGACUAAGGAAGUCGUAUUCCCCAAAUAGGGUAAUUAAUAUUUAUUCAUGACACAUAUUAUCUAAUUAUUGUUUUUCAUAUUCACGGUGACGACCCCCUUGUUGGAAAUUCUAUAAACGCUCCUCCAUUGACUGUCAUUAAAGAUCCAAAAAGAUGACUCAAACAGAACCAUAUGUAAACAGCGAAGAACCAAUAUUUAUAAAAUAACGCAAAAAGAAUUCAGUAUAAUAACGGAUCAUCAAAUUACCUAUUUCAAUUGGAAUAUUAACUAUUGAAAGUUCCAUGGGUCAAUUUUGAACAUUGUUAGGAUUUCUCAGCUAAUUCAAAAACAGAAGGAGACAAUAUGUAAACCACUUCAUUUAUCAUGUAUGAUAGUGUCCCUUUCAUGUGUGUUGGAUAACGUUAUAUUCGUGAUGAAGACUGAAGAAGGAAGAAUCUUUUUUAUUGUAUGUCCAGGGAUGCAGACGAACACAAAAGGGAAAAAGUUGCACAUCCCUUCAUUACCCAUUGGCAAUCUAUCUACUCAGCAAUAUUAUAAAUUAUGUCAAAUAAAUGUUACAGUUGACCCUUCGUACUACUUUUUACAAGUGUGAAUAUGGAUUUGUUAUAAAUUGAUUUGUCAUUAGCUCAGUACACGGUUACUCGGAAUUGGUAAAAUGUAUAUAAAAUGCAAAGUAUAGCAAAAGGGAUUGGAAUCAGAAGCAUGAUAAAUUGGACUCAAUAAAAGCCUUGGAAUUGUAUCAUACUUUGAAAAAUUCUGUACUUUUUGCAGGAGAAUUGGCUUUUCCCUUUUUAUUCUUAAUGAAGAUAUUAUUUAGUUUUUCAUCACUAUCAAUCAAUUAAAAUUUUAAUAAUAUAAAAGUUUAGUUUCUUUCUCUUCAAAUUCAUAAGCUUUUAUAUAAUGUAUAAUUUAGCAUUAUUAUAGUUAUGUUUAGAAUUGAAUAUAUCGGGUCUACUUUUAAGUAAAUUAAAUUGAAUUGAGCAUAAGGGUAUUGA
rnacentral:lncRNA from 1 species